rnacentral:rRNA from 1 species
AUUGAACGCUGGCGGCAGGCUUAACACAUGCAAGUCGAGCGGGGGAAGGUAGCUUGCUACCGGACCUAGCGGCGGACGGGUGAGUAAUGCUUAGGAAUCUGCCUAUUAGUGGGGGACAACAUCUCGAAAGGGAUGCUAAUACCGCAUACGUCCUACGAGAGAAAGCAGGGGAUCUUCGGACCCUGCGUUAAUAGCUGAGCCUAAGUCGGAGUAGCUAGGUGGUGGGGUAAAGGCCUACCAAGGCGACGAUCUGUAGCGGGUCUGAGAGGAUGAUCCGCCACACUGGGACUGAGACACGGCCCAGACUCCUACGGGAGGCAGCAGUGGGGAAUAUUGGACAAUGGGGGGAACCCUGAUCCAGCCAUGCCGCGUGUGUGAAGAAGGCCUUAUGGUUGUAAAGCACUUUAAGCGAGGAGGAGGCUACUUUAGUUAAUACCUAGAGAUAGUGGACGUUACUCGCAGAAUAAGCACCGGCUAACUCUGUGCCAGCCGCCGCCGUAA